rnacentral:tRNA from 1 species
GCCUAGUUAGCUUAGUUGGUACCUAGUGCGUCUGCCUUGUAAGCGCUAGGCCGCGGGUUCGAUUCCCGCCCGGGGCG